GUGGUUCAGGUCACUGCUAUGGCAUGGGUUUGUCCCUGGCCUGGGAAUUUGCACAUGCUGUGGGUGUGGCCAAAAAUAAAUAGUGAAAUCAUCAAAAAAAGCACAAACAUGAAAAAAUGUGGCAGUAACUAGACCAUGAAAAGGCCACUUGUUUACAGCAAGAGCUGAGACACAAAGGCAAAGGGUCACCUUGUUCUACCUCAGCAAGUCGGCAAAUUUGCAAAUAAUGAAAACAUGAAUAAUGGAGAUGAAGUGUUUAUCUCCUCUAGCCAUAUGCAUUAGUUACAGAUACCCUAAAUACUACCUCCUAAAACCAGGGACAUUCCCCCACAAUUCCAUGAUCAAAUUAAGGAAGUUUGAUAUUGAUGCAGUACUCUUUUCUAACACAAUUUUCAUUUUCAAUUUUGUUCUUGUUUCAAUCAUGUCGUUUCUUGCCAUGAUUAUUUUCAUCAGGGAUCAGGCACUGCAUUGAAUUGUCAUGUCUCUUUAUUCACCUUUAAUUUGGAACAGCCUUUCUUUGUCCUUUGUAACAUCAACAUUUUUCAAGAGUACAAGCCAGUGGAUUUGUAGAGUGCCACGUCCAUCUAGUUUAUCUGAUAUUUUCUCAUUAUAAUUAUCAGGUUUUCAUUUUGGCAGGAGUUUUAUCUCCAUUUUGCAGAUGACAAAAGUUGAUGCCCAGAGAGGGUAAGUAAUUACUGGGCAGAAUUUGAGCCUAGAAGUCUGGCUCAGAGCUUAGGCCUCCCAAAAAUCUCAGGCUAAUUCUGGCUUUGCUUAAGAAAUUGGAAGGUCCAGCAAGGAGCAUUACUGGGCCCACCUUAUUGCAGAACAAUAAUGAACAGGAGCUGAGUUGCAGCUACUCUUCCCCAGGAGAUAUAUUUGCCACAGUCCCUGCCCUUCCCUAUUGUCUUGUUCCUGUCUAACUUCAUUUAUGUUACUUGCCUGGCCCCAGUGGGCCAUGGACUUGGAGAACCCUGUACUCUCCCCAAACCUGAUGUAGAAAGGGGUUUUUUCAAAACAAAGGGCUCUGGUUGAAGUGAAAGUUGAUUGGGGGAAAGUGGGCUUAAGCGCUUGUCUUUCUGUGUAGACUCGGACAUGGCCAACAGCAGUUUUCAUGGGCUGAGUGGGGGAGUGGGCCUUCUUUUAUCCUAUUGCAGCUUCUUUCCUCCAUCCUGCGUCACAUGCACCAGGACCCACCCCUCCCCUGUCCCCAGAUGACCCUCUAACUGUGACAGAGUAAGAUGGGGCGGGUGCCCCUGUGUGAAAGUCACUGCUCCUCAGAGAAGAGCUGAGCAUCUUGCAUCCUUCCCUGAAAGACACCCACCUCUCUGCUUCUGCAGAGUACUGGGAUCCAGCUGGAAUAAUCUCAGGGCUGUGACUCUGUAGUCUUUUAUUUUCUUUCCUAAACUUGCCUUAACUCAAGUAUCAUCAGAUUGGCUUAUAAAAUGUGGAUAUCCAAGCCCUUCUGCAGAUUCCUAUUCAAGUUGGUCUGGGAGAUUGCACAUUCCACAAGGACACAGACUGGUCUAUUUUGUUCAUUGCUCUAUUUCCAGCGUGGAAGAACAGUGCCUGGCAUGCAGCAGGGAACUUGUGCAAGGUGAUAAAGAUGGUCUCCAGGAGUUCCCGCCCUGGCACAGUGAGUUAAGAACGUGAGUGCAGCAUCUCAGGUCACUGCAGAGAUGCAGGCGCAGUGGAUCCAGCAUUGCCAC